GUGGCAGACGGGUGAGUAAUGCGUAGGAAUCUACCUAGUAGUAUGGAAUAGCCAUUAGAAAUGAUGGGUAAUACUGUAUAAUCCCUGCGGGGGAAAGAUUUAUCGCUAUUAGAUGAGCCUACGUUAGAUUAGCUAGUUGGUAAGGUAAUGGCUUACCAAGGCUAUGAUCUAUAGCUGGUCUGAGAGGACGAUCAGCCACACUGGAACUGAAAUACGGUCCAGACUCCUACGGGAGGCAGCAGUGGGGAAUAUUGGACAAUGGGCGAAAGCCUGAUCCACCUAUGCC
rnacentral:rRNA from 1 species